ACCUGAUCCGAGAUUCUUCGCCCUCAAUAAGGCCUCGUUGUAGUGGAGCCACUGGUAGGGCUUGGUGGGCCCGUCUCUCCAGCCAAGGCAUUGUCCAUUAUCUAUUUUUCCCCCACAAAACAAAAGCGAAGUGGUGAAUCAUGGAGAGUCUCGUAAAGAACCUGGGACGAUCUUUGCCCCGAGGAAUUGUGCAAGAUUUAAGGAUUUUUUUCAAAAUCGUCCAACGAAACGAUUCAGGACGAAAAAAUCGGGCACACGAAUCAAGGCAUUUUUCGUUUCGUUCAAUGCGGAGAGGAAAAAAAGUAAAAAAAAAAGAGUGUAACGGUCGUUCCGAAAGGUCGAGAAAAAUACAGAGAAAGCUCCGAAGAAUCGAGGCUAAUUGCCUAUUUUUUUUUCCAAGCAACAGACCGAACGAUGAACAACGAAAAACAGCAAUAAAUAAAGUUGCGGGAUCUCCUUGCCAAGAAAUAAUUCACGAUUUACCGUAUUUUUAAUGAAGCAUCAGACAAAAAAUAUAAGAAAACGUAAGAAUUCGAAUUUCAUGACUUCCGCGAUGGAAAAAGUGCAGCGAAGAAUACGCGAUUUAGCGAGCUUCGCGUUCGUAUAGUCCGAGAGAACAACGAACUGCCAAUUUUUCUCUGUGAUACUCUGAAACCUUCCUCGUGUAUGAAGUCACGAGGGAAUUGUAUAGAAUGGGUCGAGUAAUAUUAGCCAGCAGCAGAGAGAAUGAGGGAGAAGCGUAGCGUCGUUGGCCUCGUGCAAGAGCACGCGUCAAACUUUCGAGGCUCGUAUACACCUACGAGGAUUAAAUCUCGUGACAACCGCGCCACUCGUGACGUCUCGUACUGAUCGCUGAGAUCGAUUGGCGGACGAAUGGUCUCGUGGAAGACGCAGCCCGGCAUCUCGGUACUCGGACUGGCCUUGUCGCACCAGCUUGCGGUAUAUUUUCGCGCGAAAAUUCGAAAUUCUCCGAGUGGAAAAACAAAGUGGAGAAGACGAUGGAUUUAUCGAAGGCUGAAGGUCGCGCACGAGAUUCGAUGGGACGAAAUAAAGACGGGACGCUCCAACCGGGCCCAGAAAAUUUGGGCUGUCUGCCCUCGUGGACACCACCACUGCACCAACCGUUUAUUCAAGAUCUGAAGUCAUAACGGAUGAACGAACGAUGAAAUUUGUAUCGCUACUCAUGCAGAGAAGAAGUACAUCAAAUUUUUGGUUAUACUCGUACCAGGCCAGAAGUUCGUGAACACGUUGGAACUGAGUUAUUG